AAAUGAAUAGACGGGGGCCCGCACAAGCGGUGGAGCAUGUGGUUUAAUUCGAUGAUACGCGAAGAACCUUACCCGGGCUUGAACUGUGCCUGACAGGUGUAGAGAUACAUCCUUCUUCGGACAGGUACAGAGGUGCUGCAUGGUUGUCGUCAGCUCGUGUCGUGAGAUGUUGGGUUAAGUCCCGCAACGAGCGCAACCCUUACUCCCUGUUGCCAUCAGGUAAUGCUGAGCACUCUGGGGGAACUGCCGGUGACAAACCGGAGGAAGGUGGGGAUGACGUCAAAUCAUCACGGCCCUUAUGUCCGGGGCUACACACGUGCUACAAUGGCCGGUACAAAGAGAAGCAAGACCGCGAGGUGGAGCAAAUCUCAAAAAACCGGUCUCAGUUCGGAUUGGAGUCUGCAACUCGACUCUAUGAAGCUGGAAUCGCUAGUAAUCGUAGAUCAGCACGCUACGGUGAAUACGUUCCCGGGCCUUGUACACACCGCCCGU
rnacentral:rRNA from 1 species